UACGUAGGGGGCAAGCGUUGUCCGGAUUUAUUGGGCGUAAAGAGCGUGUAGGCGGCCAGAUAGGUCAGCUGUGAAACUCGGGGCUCAACCCUGAGACGUCGGUUGAAACCAUCUGGCUAGAGUCCGGAAGAGGAGUGUGGAAUUCCCGGUGUAGCGGUGAAAUGCGCAGAUAUCGGGAAGAACACCCGUGGCGAAGGCGGCACUCUGGGACGGUACUGACGCUGAGACGCGGAAAGCGUGGGGAGCGAACAGG
rnacentral:rRNA from 1 species